AAUAUGUGUAUAUCACUCACGAGGAAUUUUAUAUUUGUAUAAACUGGCCAUCUGUAACAAACAAUUGAUAUAUAAAUGUUUAUACCUGAAUUGUCAUGAGGCUGUUUCAUUUAAUUAAUAUUUAUUGUUUUCUGUUGCUACAGAAUGCUUAAUUAAAUCUUUACUUCAUGAACUAAUAUGCAAAAGUAUUUUGUUUUAUAAAGAAAUUUCUAAAGUACAUACGUGUUUUUAGCAAAUGUUUUUCUCGGUUGGAAUUUACUUGUAGCAUUGAAUUAUUGUAAAUAUCUAUGAAAAUUAAAUUAAAUUCAGUGUUACUAAUAAUGUUUGUCAGUUAUCCAAUGUCAAGACAGUGUUAAAAGAUAAAGACAGCAUAACAUUUGGGCUUAUGAUUGAAAUAUACAACUUGUCAAAAAACAAACAUAUAUAUAUCAAUCUAUAGUAGACUUUAUUUUGCCUGGUAUACCCGGUAAAUCACAAAAUUCCAUAUGCAUGCUGUCAAGGGUACCAUAUACCAUGUAAAAUAUGUGUAUCCAGAAUAGAUCAUUGUAGAAUGUCAUUUUAUAUAUUUAUGUGUAUAAGCUUCUUGCAUUUAGAGAGCAUAUGACAGAGUGGAGUGAGAAUUUGCCAUCAGUAACCAUUGGAUAGGAAGUGCUGUGUUUGUAAAACUGUCUUGUUCAAGUGUUUCGCGGUUUAUUAGAACUGUAUUGUUCUCUUUUAAUUUUUGUUUUAUGAAUGAAAUGAAAAUGGAUAAAAUUGGAGAAAAG
rnacentral:misc_RNA from 1 species